CUGAACUCGAAGAUUGGUGUUAUAAUGCAACAGAUGAGUAUGCAGGUUCAGCUCGGGAUGAGCUCAAGCAUAUCAGACAGGCUAUAGGGUUUUUGAUUCAAGGAUUAUAUCCCUGCAAAGUAUCAUUCCUUAUAUGAGCAGUACCUUAAAAGAAGUGACAACGCAGUCGCCAUGUGAAGUUGGCUGUACAAAAGGUGAUAAUGCUGGUCUUUCAAAUGCGCACAUGAUUAUGG